rnacentral:rRNA from 1 species
GACGAACGCUGGCGGCGCGCCUAACACAUGCAAGUCGAACGAGCGAGAGAGAGCUUGCUUUCUCAAGCGAGUGGCGAACGGGUGAGUAACGCGUGAGGAACCUGCCUCAAAGAGGGGGACAACAGUUGGAAACGACUGCUAAUACCGCAUAAGCCCACGGCUCGGCAUCGAGCAGAGGGAAAAGGAGCAAUCCGCUUUGAGAUGGCCUCGCGUCCGAUUAGCUGGUUGGUGAGGUAAUGGCCCACCAAGGCGACGAUCGGUAGCCGGACUGAGAGGUUGAACGGCCACAUUGGGACUGAGACACGGCCCAGACUCCUACGGGAGGCAGCAGUGGGGAAUAUUGCACAAUGGGGGAAACCCUGAUGCAGCGACGCCGCGUGGAGGAAGAAGGUCUUCGGAUUGUAAACUCCUGUUGUUGAGGAAGAUAAUGACGGUACUCAACAAGGAAGUGACGGCUAACUACGUGCCAGCAGCCGCGGUAAAACGUAGGUCACAAGCGUUGUCCGGAAUUACUGGGUGUAAAGGGAGCGCAGGCGGGAAGACAAGUUGGAAGUGAAAUCCAUGGGCUCAACCCAUGAACUGCUUUCAAAACUGUUUUUCUUGAGUAGUGCAGAGGUAGGCGGAAUUCCCGGUGUAGCGGUGGAAUGCGUAGAUAUCGGGAGGAACACCAGUGGCGAAGGCGGCCUACUGGGCACCAACUGACGCUGAGGCUCGAAAGUGUGGGUAGCAAACAGGAUUACAUACCCUGGUAGUCCACACUGUAAACGAUGAUUACUAGGUGUUGGAGGAUUGACCCCCUCAGUGCCGCAGCUAACACAAUAAGUAAUCCACCUGGGGAGUGCGACCGCAAGGUUGAAACUCAAAGGAAUUGACGGGGGCCCGCACAAGCAGUAGAGUAUGUGGUUUAAUUCGACGCAACGCGAAGAACCUUACCAAGUCUUGACAUCCUGCGACGGUGCUGGAAACAGUACUUUCCUUCGGGACGCAGAGACAGGUGGUGCAUGGUUGUCGUCAGCUCGUGUCGUGAGAUGUUGGGUUAAGUCCCGCAACGAGCGCAACCCUUAUGGUCAGUUACUACGCAAGAGGACUCUGGCCAGACUGCCGUUGACAAAACGGAGGAAGGUGGGGAUGACGUCAAAUCAUCAUGCCCUUUAUGACUUGGGCUACACACGUACUACAAUGGCGUUAAACAAAGAGAAGCAAGACCGCGAGGCGGAGCAAAACUCAGAAACAACGUCCCAGUUCGGACUGCAGGCUGCAACUCGCCUGCACGAAGUCGGAAUUGCUAGUAAUCGCAGAUCAGCAUGCUGCGGUGAAUA